UUAACUGAAACCAAAGUAGAGGUGUAUUACUGUUAAUAAUACAAUUGAAUGAAUCAUUCCAGUUAAA
rnacentral:tRNA from 1 species